GCCCCCGCAGCUCAAUGGCCAGAGCCUCCUCUCGUCCUAGCUGGUUCAAGAUUUUGCAGAGGAAGACGUGGGUUCGACUCCCACCGAGGGCA